rnacentral:rRNA from 1 species
UGUUUCGGCAAGGGGGUCAUCCCGACUUACCAACCCGAUGCAAACUGCGAAUACCGGAGAAUGUUAUCACGGGAGACACACGGCGGGUGCUAACGUCCGUCGUGAAGAGGGAAACAACCCAGACCGCCAGCUAAGGUCCCAAAGUCAUGGUUAAGUGGGAAACGAUGUGGGAAGGCCCAGACAGCCAGGAUGUUGGCUUAGAAGCAGCCAUCAUUUAAAGAAAGCGUAAUAGCUCACUGGUCGAGUCGGCCUGCGCGGAAGAUGUAACGGGGCUAAACCAUGCACCGAAGCUGCGGCAGCGACGCUUAUGCGUUGUUGGGUAGGGGAGCGUUCUGUAAGCCUGUGAAGGUGUACUGUGAGGUAUGCUGGAGGUAUCAGAAGUGCGAAUGCUGACAUAAGUAACGAUAAAGCGGGUGAAAAGCCCGCUCGCCGGAAGACCAAGGGUUCCUGUCCAACGUUAAUCGGGGCAGGGUGAGUCGACCCCUAAGGCGAGGCCGAAAGGCGUAGUCGAUGGGAAACAGGUUAAUAUUCCUGUACUUGGUGUUACUGCGAAGGGGGGACGGAGAAGGCUAUGUUGGCCGGGCGACGGUUGUCCCGGUUUAAGCGUGUAGGCUGGUUUUCCAGGCAAAUCCGGAAAAUCAAGGCUG